GAGGAAGGCCACGAUGGGACGGCAGAAAUUCAUAGCCUAGUAGAGGAUGAUCUGAGAAUUGGAGAGCCUCACAGCAGAAAAGUGCUGGGAUCACAGGUGCGAGUCCCCGUGGCCGGCCAUCUGUUCUCCUUGUCUGAUGGAAUGCUUACAGAGGCCUGUCAUGCAGUAUCCACAUGGACAGAGACCUGAGAUAUCACAAAGAUUAUGAAGUACAAGUAGGAAACAGCCAUGAUUUUGGAGAUUGGACAGAGCAGUGAGUAUGGAGGCAGAGUUUUACAGACCUCAUCUUAAUAAACUAAUAAAC
rnacentral:lncRNA from 1 species